GAGCAAGACAGGGGAAGCAAUUCAAUAAGCAGCAUCCCUCCACCACCACUGUGGCCUCUGACUCAGCUCCUGCCUCCAAGUUCCUGCCCUGUGUGACUUCCUAUCCUGACUUCCUUUGGUGAUGAACAGCAAUGUGGAAGUAUUAGUGUUGUGUUCAGCUGUUGUCAUGGAAGCUUCUUUAUGCAGUUGGAGGUAAUUAUUGCAGAGGCUUACAAUGGAUCAAUGUGCUGGAAUAAAAGCCAAUGAAACCCGGGAACACUGCUGUGACCUAGCACCCAGUAAUUCAAGCUAUGUCUGCCUAUGCCCAGAUGACUCCUCAACCAGCUAGGGGAUGGCUGUAGACAUCAACACUUCCCCCUGCAGGCAGAUGUCAUGCAGCUUGUCAGACCCAGGUGGCCUCUAUUCAUUUUGCCCUUCUGGCUCAUCUGCCUUGACUGACAUCCUGACAAGGAAAAAAUUUGCUCCUAACGAAGGCACAAAAAGAACAAGUGAUGGUUUCUUCGUAGAGCACCCAUAGCAAAGAAGAGUCCUAAAGGAACCCCUCAUCCUCCUAGAACAUCGACGGUCACAAAAAUGGGGUGAAUGGUAUGCACUCAAUGGGAAUUUCACAGAACUGACCACAUCAAACAGUCUGCACCCAAGAGGAAAGUUUCAAAGUUGAAACUGUAGAUUCCUGGUUGACCAAAAGUGAUGACUGUUCCCUGCCCAUGGUAUAAAGCUUGAAGAUCAUGGAACAAAGAAGAAAGACAUUCUGAUAAAUGGAAGUCAAAGUUUCUUCUACGUUGAAUGCAAGGCAGCCUUACCACUGAGAGCACCACCCUAUGGAUAACCUCCACAAGUGACUCUAGGCUAGCAUUUUAAGCUUAUAGAAUAUAUCAGGAUCACCCAUGAAGCUUAAAAAAAAAAUGAAACAUCCUAACCAUACCACAGAUCUGUAGACGAAAGACCAAACUGUAAGCCUUUGAGCUAAUUCUUACAGUCAAUAUUUUAAUACCAUUGGACCACUGCUUUGGAAUAUCAUAAAACAGAAAUUAAUGCCUUCACUGGUUCUUUCCCUCCAUUUACCGAUACAAUAUUAUAUAAAACAAUAAGCAAGCUCUGAACUAAGCUGAACUUCCUAAAUGAAUAAGGCUAGCAUUGAUUUAUGCAAAGUCUGGCUUCCCUAGAAAUAAAUUGUACAGAGUAGACAACCAGCUCUCGGUGGAAAGAGAGAAUUAGGAAAUUGGAAAGCAGUUGUGCUAUGGAACAGAGAUCUAUAUACCAAUACACGUGUUCAGAGAGUUAAGUUUUAUGAAAUUAUCAUAGUGACACCCAUAUUUCAUCCUUUACUGUGAAAUUCUAUUAUAAGCCUAAAAUGAAAAAGGAUUUAUAUUUACAAACAUAACUGGAUUUUGAACCCAAACUGUAAACAUUACAAGAUUCUCCUUGAAGCACUUAGUUGAUGGUCAGCAAUCAGGCACACUUAAGAGCUAGGUGAGUU